rnacentral:rRNA from 1 species
UACGUAGGGUGCGAGCGUUAAUCGGAAUUACUGGGCGUAAAGCGUGCGCAGGCGGUUUUGUAAGCCAGAUGUGAAAUCCCCGGGCUCAACCUGGGAACUGCAUUUGUGACUGCACGGCUGGAGUGCGGCAGAGGGGGAUGGAAUUCCGCGUGUAGCAGUGAAAUGCGUAGAGAUGCGGAGGAACACCGAUGGCGAAGGCAGCCCCCUGGGCCGACACUGACGCUCAGGCACGAAAGCGUGGGGAGCAAACAGG